CAUACGCAUCCAUCAAACCACACCUUGUGCUGCAACAAACAGAAGAAUGAGGACCCUUGGACGUGCUUGCCAUUCAAGUUGGAUUGUUGGAGCAUUUUUAGGUGUUUUCAUUCUUUUGUUUUCAAUGUCUAAAUUUGUUUAUCUUUGCUUUGUGAGCAUGAGGAACUAAACCCCUUUUAGCUAUGGGGGAAUUCGAAACCAUGUUCAUGCUUGCAAUAUGAUUUGAUUACUUUCAGUUGUGAUUCAUAAGUUGUGAAUUCAAUUUACUUAUCCAUUUGAAUUAAAACUGAUUUAUGUAUGUUGGUUGAGAGUGCACGCUUAAUUUUCAUGCAUAAAUCUGAUGCUAGGAUAUAAGGGAGUUUCACCUAAUCGUUAUGAACCUAUAUUCACAAGAAGUGAAGGUUGCUCGUCACAACCGUGUUAAGUAAAUUCUUGGCAUAAGUUUUAUGCAAUUCAUAGUUACAAGUGUUUCGUCAAUGCUUAUGAUUUUCAUAGAACUUAAUGAUUCUUGCUUG
rnacentral:lncRNA from 1 species